AAAGUUAUUGGUUCCACCUGCAGUGUUCCUGCUAUGACAUGUCUAAAUGUUUGCUGUCUUCUAGGAGCAACCAUACAACAACCAAAGCUAAUGCUUUCAUUGUGCUGUUAUGCACACUCCACCACCUCCCCAUCACCACCCAGAUUCAUCACUACAUCACUUCAACAACCUCAUCAGCCUUAUCAGUCUCAGCAGAAGUCAUCAGACACCACCACCAGUGUCUGGAUUACAUGGGGAGAUUUAUCUUGAUGCUGCUCAGGACUGAUGUCUCUCAAUUCAAAAUCUCCCUGUAGAGUCUAAGUGCCAAAGACUUUUGACAACACUUAAUCAUCAGUAUCAUCUGUAUAAUAAAUAAUUCUUUUUGCUUCA